rnacentral:rRNA from 1 species
UACGUAGGGGGCAAGCGUUGUCCGGAAUCAUUGGGCGUAAAGAGCGUGUAGGCGGCCCGAUAAGUCCGACGUGAAAGUCCAGGGCUCAACCCUGGAAUGCCGGUGGAAACUGUCGGGCUGGAGUCCGGAAGAGGCGAGUGGAAUUCCUGGUGUAGCGGUGAAAUGCGCAGAUAUCAGGAGGAACACCAAUGGCGAAGGCAGCUCGCUGGGACGGUACUGACGCUGAGACGCGAAAGCGUGGGGAGCAAACAGG